UACGGAGGGGGCUAGCGUUGUUCGGAAUUACUGGGCGUAAAGCGCACGUAGGCGGCUUUGUAAGUUAGAGGUGAAAGCCCGGGGCUCAACUCCGGAAUUGCCUUUAAGACUGCAUCGCUAGAAUUGUGGAGAGGUAAGUGGAAUUACCGAGUGUAGAGGUGAAAUUCGUAGAUAUUCGGAAGAACACCAGUGGCGAAGGCGACUUACUGGACACAUAUUGACGCUGAGGUGCGAAAGCGUGGGGAGCAAACAGG
rnacentral:rRNA from 1 species